AGAGCCUUAAGCCUUAAAUUUUUUUAAUCAUAAUAACCAAUUUUAGCUCCAAGAAUCAUGCACGAUACUAAUGAAAUUAUGUUUCUACGAAAAAUAUAUAUAACUUCAAUGGAUUUUAAACGGUAAUAAGUACAUGAAAUGCGGUGGAAAAUAGUGUUUCUCGUCUGUAAAUACACAUUUGCGUUAGAUAGUAUUAAAUAUAGUCAACCUAUCUUUAUAUUGCAAGAUCCGUCUUUACAGCAGAAAGUAUGAAGUGGGUAAUAAACACCUUUUAGACGUACAAGUCACCAUGAAUGGAUGGAGUUUUUCCUGUUCUCCUACAAAACGAACAAGAGAAAAUUCGUCCUCACCUGGGUAGAAUAGCAAAAACGAGUUUUGAAAACAAUAGAAAAGUUUGUAGACAACUACAUCAGGAAGGACAUUCUGGAGAGAACACCUCUACAUUCAUGUCAACAUGCUUAUAGAGCGCAGAUCUACAGAACAGGCAGAUCUAGAGAAACCGCACUAUAUCAACUAACAUAAAUCAAUCAGAAACGCCUGAAUGAGAAAGAAAUUGCCAUCUACGCUUCUUUAAAUAUAUCUGGAGCAUUUGAUAAUAAGUCACCUGUAACAGUCAAAAAUGCCCUAGAGAAGGGAAAUUUAAACAAAACUAUAAUUCGAUGGAUUUGUCAAAUGCUUGCAACACGUACAGCUGAGACAACUAUGGGUGAAAGAACCACAAGUAUCAGAACUACUGAUGGCACGCCUCAAGGUGUAGAAGUCGAUGAACUACUUCAAAUAUUGACAAACCAUGAAAUAACCUGCCUGACAGCAUCAUUAUUGUCAAAGGCAGAUACGAGGGCACAUUAUACAAUCUCAUACAAAGAAUCAUAAGCACUACGGAAGAAUGGUGUACAUCAGAAGGACUGAGCAUUAAUUCGGCAAAAAAGGGACAUUUUUUACUUGUAAAGGGAAAAUUCAACCCAGCAUAUUUACUUGGGCUGACAACUUGUACAUACAUCGAAUGAAGUAAAAUAUCUUUGAGUGCCACCGAAAUGCAAACUUAGUAGGAAUAAACAUCCAGAAAUUAUAGUAAAUAAGGCAACUAAAGCCAUUAUAUUCUGUAGAAACCUAACGGGGAAAAACUGGGAAUAUUCCCCCAAAAUACUGCGAUGGGUGUACACCAUGAUGGUAAAAUCCAUAAUUACCUAACAAAGUUAAACACAGUAAGAAGUAAAGUUGACAUUUCAAACAAGAUCCAUUCCCUUCGAUCAUGCCAAGAAUGAUAUCACAGUGUGAGGAAUUUCACUACGAAAAUUGAUAGCAAAAGUAACAGGAAAUAUGAAAAAGUCACUCAUUUACCAAAAUCGAAUAUUAUCAAAUGGUACACAGAUGGUGCUCAAACCAAAACAGAAACAGAAGCUGGAGAAUUGGGACCUGGCACCAAAUAUACGCUAUAGAAAGAUGAGCUAAAUUCAUCCUGGACAAACACUCUCUCAAACAAGACAUCACAAUCUUCACCAACAGUCAAGCGACCAUAUCAGCACUGAGUCAUCAGUUCUAAAAUGGUAAGAGACUAUGCUUAGGGAAACUUAAUGAGCUAGGAAAGAAAAAUAAAGAUACAAUAUUUUGGGUAUCUGGACACACAGGCGUGCAGGGUAACGAAGAAGCCAAUAUUUUGGCAAGAAAGGGUUUUGGCUCUCAGUUUGUGGAACAGGAACCUUUCUGCGGUAUAGGUAAGAAUAUUUACCUAUAUGAGCUUUCAAAAAUGGAGAAAGAAGUCAGAGAACGCGUCUGCGAUGAUUAUCCAGGGUUGAGGCAAUCCAAAAUAUUCCUUGGAAGUAUCAACGUAAAAAGAUCUAAAGUUCUAGUAAGUUUAAUUAAAACUAAACUACGUAUUCUCACAAAUUUUUAAUGGGGCAUUGUCACCUUCGAAAAAACUGCAGCAAAUUAAAACUAGAACACUGAAUGUAGAUUCCGCAGGGAAGAGGAAGAGACCCCAGAACACCUAGUAGCUGCGUGCGAAACCGUUGCUGAAAAUCGUGCCAUAUAUCUUGGUAGCUAUAAAUUUUAAAAAUGGAAUCAUCCCAUAACUAAAGCCAUUACAAUUACUAACCUUUAUCAAAGCAAUAGGAUUCUACGGAGUAAUUUGAAUUGAGACUAACAUCAAGCAGUAAUUAGUAAGGAGCAUAAAAUAGAUCUUAUCUUAUCUCAGUGUAACUUUACCCUUAUUUUAAUCUAAUCUAGUCGAACUUGUAACAUCCUAAUAGAACGCAAAAAAUUGAUUUUACUAAAAAUAUAUUCACACUCCAUCCAACUAACCUUCGACGAUACUUUUGCUUACCAUAGGUCAAGAUACGGCAGCAGGAGGCUUAAUUUGCGCAUAUCCCUCUCAUUUUCUACCAUUAUAGAAGAAAAAAAAAUGCCUAAAGCCUACAGGUUAUAAAACAGACUAUAUUAAGACCCUAUAUAAGAUGGGUCUGCUUAACUGGCUUGUAUAGAGGUUGUUCUGCAGUAAUAAGUCUAAGAAAAACUGUUAAAAAUGUUCAAAUUGUUCGCCUUCUUCGCUCUCUUCGCAUGCGCCCUGUGCGCUCCAAAUCCGGCUCCCAAACCGGGCUUGGCCCUCACGUACGCCACUGCGGAUAUCCCUCUUGCCUUCGACUACAAAUACCCUGGAAUAAGGACUUACGGAUACAAUAACCUGGGAUACGCCUAUGCUCCGUACCAUUCUUCUAAUGGUUACUACAACGCACCUUUGACUACUUUUACGAUUUGAGUUUUUGAACAUGGAUUUGCUAACUGUAACUGACUGAUUAUUAUUAGGAAUUUUUUCGUGAGGUAGUUUGGUUCAAGAAAUAAAUUAUAAGAAUUAGUA
rnacentral:lncRNA from 1 species